GCGAGGUGGAGCUAAUCCCAUAAAACCGAUCGUAGUCCGGAUCGCAGUCUGCAACUCGACUGCGUGAAGUCGGAAUCGCUAGUAAUCGUGAAUCAGAAUGUCACGGUGAAUACGUUCCCGGGCCUUGUACACACCGCCCGUCACACCAUGGGAGUGGGUUGCUCCAGGAGUAGCUAGUCUAACCGCAAGGGGGACGGUUACCACGGAGUGAUUCAUGACUGGGGUGAAGUCGUAACAAGGUAGCCGUAGGGGAACCUGCGGCUGGAUCACCUCCUUAAGCUUGGAUCCCGGGA
rnacentral:rRNA from 1 species